GUACCUGCGGAAGGAUCAUUAAAAGAGACAGGGCCCUUCGGGGCCCGACCUCCCACCCUCUGUUGUUAUAACUACCUCGUUGCUUUGGCGGGACCCGCGAAGGUCCUCCCGAGCGCGCCAGUCUCCGGACAGGCGAGCGCCCGCCAGAGUCCAACCAAACUCUUGUUUUUAAACCAGUCGUCUGAGUAUAAAAUUUUAAUUAAAUUAAAACUUUCAACAACGGAUCUCUUGGUUCUCGCAUCGAUGAAGAACGCAGCGAAAUGCGAUAAGUAAUGUGAAUUGCAGAAUUCAGUGAAUCAUCGAAUCUUUGAACGCACAUUGCGCCCCUUGGUAUUCCGAGGGGCAUGCCUGUUCGAGCGUCAUUACACCACUCAAGCACUGCUUGGUAUUGGGCACCCGUCCGCCGAAAGGCGGGCGUGCCUCGAAGACCUCGGCGGGGUUUCAUCAACUUCGGGCGUAGUAGAGUUAAAUCAAAACGUCUUAUAAGAUUGGUGGGGCCUCAUUGCCGUUAAACCUUUUAUUUUUUCAGGUUGACCUCGGAUCAGGUAGGGAUACCCGCUGAACUUAAGCAUAUCAUA
rnacentral:rRNA from 1 species